rnacentral:rRNA from 1 species
UUGAGAGUGGCGAACGGGUGAGUAAUAUAUCGGAACGUGCCCAGUCGUGGGGGAUAACGUAGUGAAAAUUACGCUAAUACCGCAUACGAUCUAAGGAUGAAAGCGGGGGAUCGCAAGACCUCGCGCGAUUGGAGCGGCCGAUAUCAGAUUAGGUAGUUGGUAGGGUAAAGGCUUACCAAGCCAACGAUCUGUAGCUGGUCUGAGAGGACGACCAGCCACACUGGAACUGAGACACGGUCCAGACUCCUACGGGAGGCAGCAGUGGGGAAUUUUGGACAAUGGGCGAAAGCCUGAUCCAGCCAUUCCGCGUGCAGGAUGAAGGCCCUCGGGUUGUAAACUGCUUUUGUACAGAAGGAAAAGGUCUAUAUUAAUACUAGGGGUUCAUGACGGUACUGUAAGAAUAAGCACCGGCUAACUACGUGCCAGCAGCCGCGGUAAUACGUAGGGUGCAAGCGUUAAUCGGAAUUACUGGGCGUAAAGCGUACGCAGGCGGUUAUAUAAGUCAGAUGUGAAAUCCCCGGGCUCAACCUGGGAACUGCAUUUGAGACUGGAUAGCUAGAGUACGGUAGAGGGGGAUGGAAUUCCGCGUGUAGCAGUGAAAUGCGUAGAUAUGCGGAGGAACACCGAUGGCGAAGGCAAUCCCC